rnacentral:rRNA from 1 species
UGAUAAGUCUGAUGUGAAAGCCCACGGCUCAACCGUGGAACUGCAUCGGAAACUGUCAUUCUUGAGUGCAGAAGAGGAGAGUGGAAUUCCAUGUGUAGCGGUGGAAUGCGUAGAUAUAUGGAAGAACACCAGUGGCGAAGGCGGCUCUCUGGUCUGCAACUGACGCUGAGGCUCGAAAGCAUGGGUAGCGAACAGGAUUAGAUACCCUGGUAGUCCAUGCCGUAAACGAUGAGCGCUAGGUGUUGGGGACUUUCCGGUCCUCAGUGCCGCAGCAAACGCAUUAAGCGCUCCGCCUGGGGAGUACGACCGCAAGGUUGAAACUCAAAGGAAUUGACGGGGGCCCGCACAAGCGGUGGAGCAUGUGGUUUAAUUCGAAGCAACGCGAAGAACCUUACCAGGUCUUGACAUCCUGUGCUACACCUAGAGAUAGGUGGUUCCCUUCGGGGACGCAGAGACAGGUGGUGCAUGGCUGUCGUCAGCUCGUGUCGUGAGAUGUUGGGUUAAGUCCCGCAACGAGCGCAACCCUUGUCUUUAGUUGCCAUCAUUAAGUUGGGCACUCUAAAGAGACUGCCGGUGACAAACCGGAGGAAGGUGGGGAUGACGUCAAGUCAUCAUGCCCCUUAUGACCUGGGCUACACACGUGCUACAAUGGGCAGUACAACGAGAAGCGAACCCGCGAGGGUAAGCGGAUCUCUUAAAGCUGUUCUCAGUUCGGACUGCAGGCUGCAACUCGCCUGCACGAAGCUGGAAUCGCUAGUAAUCGCGGAUCAGCACGCCGCGGUGAAUACGUUCCCGGGCCUUGUACACACCGCCCGUCACACCAUGGAAGUCUGCAAUGCCCAAAGUCGGUGGGAUAACCUUUAUAGGAGUCAGCCGCCUAAGGCAGGGCAGAUGACUGGGGUGAAGUCGUAACAAGGUAGCCGUAGGAGAACCUGCGGCUGGAUCACCUCCUUUCUAAGGAA